rnacentral:rRNA from 1 species
UACAGAGGUGGCAAGCGUUGUUCGGAAUUACUGGGCGUAACGGGCGCGUAGGCGGCCUCGCAAGUCCCGUGUGAAAUCCCUCGGCUCAACUGAGGAAUGGCACGGGAAACUGCGGGGCUUGAGUUCGGGAGAGGGAAGCGGAAUUCCGGGUGUAGCGGUGAAAUGCGUAGAUAUCCGGAGGAACACCGGUGGCGAAGGCGGCUUCCUGGACCGAUACUGACGCUGAGGCGCGAAAGCUAGGGGAGCAAACGGG